UACGUAGGGGGCAAGCGUUGUCCGGAAUCAUUGGGCGUAAAGAGCGUGUAGGCGGUCCGAUAAAUCCGCUCUGAAAGCCCGGGGCUCAACCCCGGGAGGCGGGCGGAUACUGUCGGGCUAGAGUCCGGAAGAGGCAAGUGGAAUUCCUGGUGUAGCGGUGAAAUGCGCAGAUAUCAGGAGGAACACCGAUGGCGAAGGCAGCUUGCUGGGACGGUACUGACGCUGAGACGCGAAAGCGUGGGGAGCAAACAGG
rnacentral:rRNA from 1 species